GGUCGCGUGGCGAAAUGGCAUCGCGUCUGACUACGAUUAACAUCCUCAAUCAGGAGAUCGCGGGUUCGACCCCCGUCGUGACCU
rnacentral:tRNA from 2 species